GACCGGUCCCCGUAGGUCCAGAAAAAUAGCAUUUUAGGACUUAGCCAAAUUUUCAGCUUUUUCAGCUUUCGGGGUCCGAUUUCGCUCGUUUGGCCUCCGAUUCUUUUCAAAUCGAACCGAGACUCUCCAAACAUGUUUUCGAGCGUGCUUUCAUCAUCUUUUCAUCCACGCUAAAGCCGAAUUUAGCUCUCGGUCCAACAUAGCCUUUCGGGUUCUAUUUUCGCGCCUACGCGCACCGAAAUGCCCGAAUGCUCCCGAACUUCACCGAACUUUACCGGAGCCAUUCAAAUGGCUUUCCAACCAAAUGUAAACCGUAACUUCAUAAUUUUAGAAGUCUGGUACCUUACAAACAUGAUAAGAACAAGCGGAGAGGUCGAGCUGGGCUGAUAAAGAUAAGGCUAGAGAAGGAAAUGACCAAAGCAACCUCAGCCACGCAGCUGCUGUGCUGGGUACUGGUACUCGGGCAUGCUGGUACCGGUACUCAAUGCAAAGUACAAA
rnacentral:lncRNA from 1 species